rnacentral:rRNA from 1 species
GCAAGUCGAACGGCAGCACGGGAGCUUGCUCCUGGUGGCGAGUGGCGAACGGGUGAGUAAUAUAUCGGAACGUACCCUAGAGUGGGGGAUAACGUAGCGAAAGUUACGCUAAUACCGCAUACGAUCUACGGAUGAAAGUGGGGGAUCGCAAGACCUCAUGCUCAUGGAGCGGCCGAUAUCUGAUUAGCUAGUUGGUAGGGUAAAAGCCUACCAAGGCUUCGAUCAGUAGCUGGUCUGAGAGGACGACC